CAUGCAUGCAUAUGACUGACUGCAUCCUCUUAACUGCUCUCAGCUAAUGUUAUUUUUCAGUCUCAGCGAGUGUGUAUGUGUGUGAGCUUCAUUGUGUGUGUGCAUCUGUCAAUUUCUCACCUAAUGAGGGCUUGUUUUUUUUCUGUCCCCAUAGUAACGUCAGGAUAAUGAUGCCUCUGUCUUGUCAAGACGUCUGACAACACUGUGGGUUUUCGGUGACAUCCCAACUUACACGCUGUUGUAGGAAAUGUCCCAUGCGAGCUUGUGAACAGCAGCACCUCGCUCUUGGAUGAGGAGACUAGAAGAGCUCUAAUGUAUCGGAGUCUAUUAAAAAGACAAAACUGGGGCAGAUUGAGAGAUGCAGCGAGGUAACGACAGAGAGAGAAAGAGAGACAGGCUGAAAAACAACCUCAUUCUGCACAACAAACAAAUGAAAGGCUCUGUGUGUGGAGAACAAGCCGAGUGGAUCCAUAAAGCCGUCCUCCCGACAGUCCAUGUCUGAUGCACGUUUGUGAGGGAAAUGCAGAUCGAUGAGGCUCACGCAGAUCAGAUCAAUUCCAAUUAGUCGUCCGCUGAUUUCUGUAUCACAAGGCCACUAAGCAGCUGUGCAUUUUAAUCACAUAUCACAGAGUGGCCGACCCAACAGUGACCCCUAAAAAGAGCGGAAAAGGGAGGAGGAGUAUGGGUGGAAACGAGGAUUCUUCAAGAUGUAGAUUACUAAGUUUUCUUUGAAGCCCCAGUGAAGCAGAAGUAAGCCUUUAGCUUCCAGUCGAGAUGCUUUUGAAGAUCUCGUUUCCACAGGAAAACUCUGACCAGUUCUGGUGCUAAAAUCCUCCAUCCGACACACAAACGAAGAUCUGAUGAUGGUAUCGAUCUGCAGUGGAUAUCAUCUCAAAAA